AAGAAGGAGGAAGAAGAAAAGGGAGACGGGGAAGAGGACAGGAGGAGCAGAAGCGGCUCUGACAGCAACUUGGAGGAGGACCACGGCAGUGACAAGGAUGAGAAGGACGACAAAGAUUAGCCUUUCUGUGCAGGAGCAGCAGUAUGCACCCUCUCAUGCAAAUGACAGCUUGUGCUCGAGGGGACUUGGCACUUUUAGCUAAAUAAAGGUGUUU